rnacentral:rRNA from 1 species
UACGUAGGGGGCAAGCGUUGUCCGGAUUCAUUGGGCGUAAAGAGCGUGUAGGCGGCCAGGUAGGUCGGUUGUGAAAACUGGAGGCUCAACCUUCAGAGGUCGACCGAAACCAUCUGGCUAGAGUCCGGGAGAGGAGAGUGAAAUUCCUGGUGUAGCGGUGAAAUGCGCAGAUAUCAGGAAGAACACCCGUGGCGAAAGCGGCUCUCUGGAACGGUACUGACGCUGAGACGCGAAAGCGUGGGGAGCGAACAGG